GAAAAUAAUGGAAUAGAGUGUUUUCUCCUGACUCCCUGGCUCUGCUUUCAUAUUCUGCAUCAUCCCUUGUCAACAAUACCAUAAAAGUCCCCGACAAAGAUCCAUCUUUUGUUCUACACCCCACACCCACCUCCAAUAAACAUAUCAGUCCCUGUGGGGACGGGUAAAUGGAUUCCAAUGUACACAGUAUUCAAGGACGAAAUGUCUGGCUCAUUCAAAUCAAGGUUUCCUCCAACUGGAAGCAGUCCUUCAAAAUGAGUCUGAUGGGGAAACUUGAUACUGGAGGAUGUCCCAAACAUGCAAUAGUCUACGGAUUUAUGGAGGGCUUAUUAUGUGCCAGGUGUUGUGGCAGAUGCCAGGUGGAAGGGCAAGUAGGACACAGGUCCCACCCUCCCGGACCUCAGAGGCUCAGGAGGAGAGUUACAGGGCAUUGUAAUAAGAGUCACGAGGAAGGGCCCUAACCAGGGUGGAGAGCUCAGGGAAGGUGUCUCAGGAGAGGCCUCAUCAAAGCUGAGACAAGAGGGGUAAGGAGGACUCAGUCAGGCAGUGAGUGGGGAUUUGAGGCAGCAUUAUGUGCAACGGCCUUGGGAUGAGCAAGCCAUGGCUCUUUCCUCCUCUCCUACGACUUCCUUUCCAAGUGGGACCUGGUGGAGAUCAUUCUGGUAAGCAGUGAUUUGAAUGCAGUGCAGGGGCAGUAGGAGUUGGAGGCGCUCAGGAGCGAGUGGAAGUGUGGAGUCCCUCACAUCACAACACAUGGACGUGUGCCUGCUCAAGGACCCCCAAGCUUAUUCCAGGCACACUGCAUACAUUGCUUGGAAACCUCAGAAAAUAUCAUGGCAAUGGGAGCUUCGAGGGAAAGGUCUCGAAAUGUCAAUGAGUCAGAAGUGCCCAGAAAAUGGUUUUCCUUGCCUCUGGAACUAAAUGGAGUGAACACCUGAUCCAGAUUUACUUGGAUCUUUCUUCUUUAAGCAACUAAUUCUUGAUGGAAAAUAUGCUUAUACCACAUAGACUCACAGCGAAGAGAAGGAAAAGCCUCCAUUUAUCCUGUCUCUUUGAUUUCAUUUUACCCUCCUGGAGGCCAAGUCAGGCCAAGCAAGCCUCAUCCGGUUUUAGCCUUUACGACACAGAAAACAGUUUGGCCUGGCUGGCUGUAGUAUGAUCAUCACGCAGCAGAACCCUGGCGGCACAGGUUUCUGUAUUUCUGAAGGCUGUUUGUAUCGCAAAAGAGAAACUCAGAGCUGCACCAAGAUUCAACCUAUAAAACAUAUUCCAAAGUUGAAUUUCAAAUGUAAAGGAUGGAGCCUUCAGUUUGUACUCCAACAAGAGUAAGGUCUACCAGAAUAAAUGAUGUGUCGAGGACGUGACAUCAAGCAAAAGAUCCCGGGGGCUCCAAGAACCUAAACUCGUGGUUAUCCCCAGGACCAUAAAAAGAUGCUGGAUGACAGGAAAGAUAGCUACUAACAGACGGUGGGUAUGAGAGUCAGCUCAUUGAUGUUAAUCAGUUGCAAAGUAGAAGACAGGACAUUAAAUAU
rnacentral:lncRNA from 1 species